rnacentral:rRNA from 1 species
CCUACGGGUGGCAGCAGUGAGGAAUAUUGGUCAAUGGGCGCGAGCCUGAACCAGCCAAGUCGCGUGAGGGAAGACGGUCCUAUGGAUUGUAAACCUCUUUUAUCGAGGAGCAAAAGGCGCCACGCGUGGCGUUCCGGUAGUACCCGAAGAAAAGGCAUUGGCUAACUCCGUGCCAGCAGCCGCGGUAAUACGGGGGAUGCGAGCGUUAUCCGGAUUUAUUGGGUUUAAAGGGUGCGCAGGCGGAAGAUCAAGGCAGCGGGAAAAUUGAGAGGCUCAACCUCUUCGAGCCGUUGAAACUGGUUUUCUUGAGUGAGUGAGAAGUAUGCGGAAUGCGUGGUGUAGCGGUGAAAUGCAUAGAUAUCACGCAGAACUCCGAUUGCGAAGGCAGCUUACUAAACUACAACUGACACUGAAGCACGAAAGCGUGGGGAUCAAACAGGAUUAGAUACCCCGGUAGUC